UGCAAAUUGAAAUAAGAACAUACUUUAAUGUUUUAUCAGUCUCAGUACAAAAUAGCCCAACCAGUUUUCAGUGUAAUACAUCUUGCUAUGAUGGACACAACGUGGUCAGUAAUGAUUCUUUUAUUCAACAGUCCUUUAAGGCCAACUAUUUAAAAUGCAGACCUAAAUUGAAGUGUUUCAAUUGAAAUAUACAAAGGGUUGUAUUUUUAUUUUUUUAAAUACAUAGAGUAAUUUCUGAAAUCAAGCAAUAUUCUGUUUCUUUAGGUUUGAUUAUUCUUGAGAGUACAAGGAGCAGGUGGGCUGUAACGUGCUGGGAGAACUAAGAAAUAAAUGUUCCCAACAAAUUGGCCUGCAGAUGAUUCUGCUGUGGAAGCUGUGGAGUCUGAGUUGUGCGGUUUUCAGCAACUCCCACAUCUGCAGUUCCAUGUAUUCAGUAUGUCAUUCAAGGUGGAUAGAGUUUCAUCAAUCUUCAAAAUGUGCAAUGGGAUAAAUUCCCAGUGUUUAAUUUUUCACCGUCUCAAAACUUCAGUCACAGAAGAAGAAAAGCAAAAACAAAAAAAACAAACCGUGCUUACAGAAUAUAAAGAAAUAUCUUUACUCAGAAAGAAAUAAAAUUCUAACAGUAAAAUACAUAUUCAUCUUGUAUUUCAUUUCAACACAGUGCUUUAAAAGGGGAAGUCCAGAUACUUAUUUGUGUUAAAAAAAAAAAAAUCAACAAUUUUUUCUAAUUGUUUUGAAGAUUCUUGUUGCAUUUCUAUUCAGAGACAAGGCGUUUGAAUGUUUAUUUUUUUUCUGUUUACUUUUAAAGGUUGUUUUUAUCAUUUAAGUACCCUUCACACUUUAAAAAUAGAUGUUAUGAUCAAUGAUAAAACAAUAUUACGUGUAAAAUAGUUAUUAAUUUUAAGCUGAAGUUGUUAAAUGGUGAAUAACAGGGAACUGGCCUGUGUCCCCAAAAAAAUCUUUUCCAGUUUCUGUAGAAAUGUAUGCUUCAUUGUCUCUACAACUUUGAAAUACAUUAUGUCACUCAGGACCUGUUUGUUAGCAAAGUAACUCACUGGAUAAUAUAAUAAUCAUGUCUUAUGUUUAGAUGUGUUAAUAAAGCAGCUUGUGGCUGCCA
rnacentral:lncRNA from 1 species